rnacentral:misc_RNA from 1 species
UGUGUAAAACGCCAAGCUCUAGCUAGGCAGAAUGGUCUUCAUUUCCAAAGAUGAGCACCACACACUUACAAAAACAACUAAACCCGUAUGAUCAUCACAUUAUACACGCGUGAGCUGUAUAUACAAACUAAAGAAAACACCAGGCAUCGGCAGGCACACAGAGACGAACGAACGCGCGCGCAUGCAGAUGCAGCUCGCUAUCCUAGGGAAGCUGUAGCUGAGUGGGAGGAACUAUGGGGCGACGCCUCCACAGGUUCACCUCCUUCCUCGGCUCCGAGGCUACCACCCCGCCCCCGAGCACCAGCGGCGCCGAAUGCGCUACGAACCCGUCGUCGUCCUCAUCGCUGUCACGGCCCGUCGUCCUCUCCUCCUCCCGCCAGUCGAAGUCCUGAAACGCGGCGCGCCCGCUGGUGAACCGCUUCAUCUGGCCGAGGCCCAUCGGCGGCGGCGGCGGCGCUGGAUCCGCCACCGCGCUGUCGCCGUCGCUCUCUUUCCCGUCACCGACGACGAUGAGCCCAUCUUUGGACGACGCCGCCCUUGAGCGAGGACGCGACCUGCUGCGGCGGAAGAAGGGCAUCCGCUUCACGAGGGAGCCCCUGCUGCUGCUGGUCCUGCUGCAGGGCUUCUUGUCCUCCGCUGGCGGCCUCGGCGGGAGCGGGCAGGCGCCGCCGCCCUUGCCGCACGACGGGUUGACCUUCUUCUGGCGCCUGGAGUUGCUGCGCUUGAUCUGGCCGAUGCAGGACACCUUGGGCGACGACGGCUCGGGCGUCACGUACCCCGGGCGCUUCCUCCUGCCGCCGCCGCCGCGAGCCUCCGGCGGGACGAUGGAGACGACGAUGGGGCCCGAGAAGGCGUUGCGGUGGUUGAAGGAGGACCUCCUGCCGCUGGGCGGGAAGGCGGAGGAGAAGGAGGAGACGGUGGACCUGAGGAAGGAGGCCAGCCCGCCGCCGGUGAAGCUCCUUGACCUCGCGUGUGCGUGCUUCUUCUGCUUCUUCUCCAUGGAAACUAACUUCUCGUUCCCUCGCGCUGUUUCCUGUAUGUAUCCAGCAAGAUUUAUUAUUGGGCUCGGUCUCUGUCGAUGCCCUUUGCGUCUGGAUCAGUCUCUCCUCCUCCGCUCCGCUGGUUGCUUGCUUCUCCUUGUCAAUCUCGAGAGGGGCUGUAUAUAUACGACUUUCCCCGAAGGUUUGGUGCCGGAUGGGGCUCGGGGAGCUGCUUGUGCUUGCCUCGGAGUAAUCACGUGUGUGGCUGGCGCCUGGCGCGGUCAAACGGAGAAGGAGUUAGCGUUGGAUCGCGCAAGAGCUGACGGCGGUGGGUGGUUAAUCCCGCGGCGGUGGGUGGGUUCGUGCGACCUGGUUGCCGCGACCGAAAUUCCGCGGGCGGCAGG